GGCAGCAGUUAGGAAUCUUCCGCAAUGGACGGAAGUCUGACGGAGCGACGCCGCUUGGAGGAGGAAGCCCUUCGGGGUGUAAACUCCUGAACUGGGGACGAAAGCCCUGUGUAGGGGGAUGACGGUACCCAGGUAAUAGCGCCGGCCAACUCCGUGCCAGCAGCCGCGGUAAUACGGAGGGCGCGAGCGUUACCCGGAUUUACUGGGCGUAAAGGGCGUGUAGGCGGCCUGGGGCGUCCCAUGUGAAAGGCCACGGCUCAACCGUGGAGGAGCGUGGGAUACGCUCAGGCUAGAGGGUGGGAGAGGGUGGUGGAAUUCCCGGAGUAGCGGUGAAAUGCGCAGAUACCGGGAGGAACGCCGAUGGCGAAGGCAGCCACCUGGUCCACUUCUGACGCUGAGGCGCGAAAGCGUGGGGAGCAAACCGGAUUAGAUACCCGGGUAGUCCACGCCCUAAACGAUGCGCGCUAGGUCUCUGGGUUUAUCUGGGGGCCGAAGCCAACGCGUUAAGCGCGCCGCCUGGGGAGUACGGCCGCAAGGCUGAAACUCAAAUGAAUUGACGG
rnacentral:rRNA from 1 species